ACGCGCGCACACACACACACACAUACACACACGCCCUCAGCCGCCACCGGGCCGCUGCACCAGGACAGCAGCGAGCGGCUGAGGCCAGCAGGAAGGAGAGGAGAGCGGCCCAGGGGGCUGGCGGCCGGGCUGGCUCCGGCUCCGCCCUCGAGCAGCAUCCACUUGCCCCAGCCAACACCCUUCCUUCACCCCAGGGUGACCUCUUUGCAAAGUCUUGCUUCUGUUGGACAGUCGGCGCUGUGGGAGAAGAGGGGAGACUGGAGCACCAGUUUGGGCAAAGGCGUGCCCAAGAACAGAGAUUUAGGGCAGAGAAACCGAGGCAAGUCCCAUCCCUUCCCCCCUCCCCAACCUUAUCUUCUCCUCACAUCCCUCCCCCUCAUCCUCACUGGUGGGAGGGGAGGAUUUGCAGAAGUUUGGCUUUCCAGUGGGCAAAGGGGCUGGAACAGAAGGAGGAGGGGUGCGGUUUAGGGGGUCUAGAAAGAGAGGGCCAUCCUUCUGUCCAGCACCACCGGGCUUACAUAACAGCCAGAGGUGGGGGAAGCAGCCCCAGGCAGUGUCCAGAGCUGAAUCCCAUCAUCUUCUUCUCCGGGAGGGGUUCCAGGGUCUGGGAAGCAAGGGAGGGGAUGAGCUUCCACAGUGCAGGUGGAAGGAGAGUCCUGGCCCUACACGGGGACAAAGCCAGCGACCCUUUGCCACAGCCCACCGGGGGCCGAGCCUGGCUCUAGCUGUCAAAGUUGUUUGGAGGUUGGGGAAUCUAGACAGAUCAGGACAGGCUGGGCUGCAGAAGGGUGGGUUUUCCUGCCCUUAACUUUCCCGCCCUCCAAGUCCAGCCUGCAACUGGCCAGACUCUUACCACCCUUUCCUUUCAGCCUCACUCCCCAAGGCCCCAAACUCCCUUCCCAGCCCAGCUGGUAUCCUUUUUCUUCUGCUCGGGGGAGGCAAGAGGAGGAAGUGCCCCAAUAACCCAGGAGGUGGGUGGUGAUCUGAUCUCAUCUUGGCCAGCGAUCUCAGGCUCCUCUCCCAACCUUCUGGCCAG
rnacentral:lncRNA from 1 species